CGAACGAUGAUGCCCAGCUUGCUGGGCGGAUUAGUGGCGAACGGGUGAGUAACACGUGAGUAACCUGCCCUUGACUUCGGGAUAACUCCGGGAAACCGGGGCUAAUACCGGAUAUGAGCCGUCCUCGCAUGGGGGUGGUUGGAAAGUUUUUCGGUCAGGGAUGGGCUCGCGGCCUAUCAGCUUGUUGGUGGGGUGAUGGCCUACCAAGGCGACGACGGGUAGCCGGCCUGAGAGGGCGACCGGCCACACUGGGACUGAGACACGGCCCAGACUCCUACGGGAGGCAGCAGUGGGGAAUAUUGCACAAUGGGCGAAAGCCUGAUGCAGCGACGCCGCGUGAGGGAUGAAGGCCUUCGGGUUGUAAACCUCUUUCAGCAGGGAAGAAGCGCAAGUGACGGUACCUGCAGAAGAAGCGCCGGCUAACUACGUGCCAGCAGCCGCGGUAAUACGUAGGGCGCAAGCGUUGUCCGGAAUUAUUGGGCGUAAAGAGCUCGUAGGCGGUUUGUCGCGUCUGGUGUGAAAACUCGAGGCUCAACCUCGAGCUUGCAUCGGGUACGGGCAGACUAGAGUG
rnacentral:rRNA from 1 species